UACAGAGGGUGCGAGCGUUAAUCGGAAUUACUGGGCGUAAAGCGUGCGUAGACGGUUAUUUAAGUCGGGUGUGAAAGCCCCGGGCUCAACCUGGGAAUUGCAUUCGAGACUGAAUAGCUAGGGUACGGUAGAGGGAAGUGGAAUUUCCGGUGUAGCGGUGAAAUGCGUAGAUAUCGGAAGGAACAUCAGUGGCGAAAGCGCUCUACUGGGCCAUAACUGACACUGAGGGACGAAAGCUAGGGGAGCGAAAGGG
rnacentral:rRNA from 1 species